rnacentral:rRNA from 1 species
GACGAACGCUGGCGGCGUGCCUAACACAUGCAAGUCGAACGGAAAGGCCUAGCUUGCUGGGUACUCGAGUGGGGAACGGGUGAGUAACACGUGGGUGAAUUGCCCCUGACUUUGGGAUAAGCCUGGGCAACUGGGUCUAAUACCGGAUAUUCCUUUUUCCUCGCGUGGGGAUUCGUGGAAAGUUUUUGCGGUUGGGGAUGGGCCGGCGGCCUAUCGGCUUGUUGGGGGGGUAAUGGCCUACCACGCCGACGACGGGUAGCCGACCUGGGAGGGGAAUCAGCCACACGAGGACUGAGACACGGCGCAGUCUCCUACGGUAGGCAGUGGGGGGGAAUAUUGCACAGUGAGCGCGAGCCUGAUGCAGCGACGCCGCGUGAGGGAUGACGGCCUGCGGGGUGUAAACCUCUUUCGGCUCCUACGAAGCGCAAGUGACGGUAGGAACAGAAGAAGCACCGGCCAACUACGUG